rnacentral:rRNA from 1 species
UACGGGGGGGGGCAAGCGUUGUUCGGAAUUACUGGGCGUAAAGGGCUCGUAGGUGGCCAACUAAGUCAGACGUGAAAUCCCUCAGCUUAACUGGGGAACUGCGUCUGAUACUGGAUGGCUUGAGUUUGGGAGAGGGAUGCGGAAUUCCAGGUGUAGCGGUGAAAUGCGUAGAUAUCUGGAGGAACACCGGUGGCGAAGGCGGCAUCCUGGACCAACACUGACACUGAGGAGCGAAAGUGUGGGGAGCGAACAGG